AUUGAACGCUGGCGGCAUGCCUUACACAUGCAAGUCGAGCGCGAAAGGGGGCAACCCCGAGUAGAGCGGCGGACGGGUGAGUAACACAUCGGAACGUGCCCAGUAGUGGGGGACAACCUCGAGAAAUCGAGGCUAAUACCGCAUACGACCCACGGGUGAAAGCGGGGGACCCAAAGGAAACUGAGGGCCUCGCGCUAUUGGAGCGGCCGAUGUCCGAUUAGCUAGUUGGCGGGGUAAGAGCCCACCAAGGCGACGAUCGGUAGCUGGUCUGAGAGGACGACCAGCCACACUGGGACUGAGACACGGCCCAGACUCCUACGGGAGGCAGCAGUGGGGAAUUUUGGACAAUGGGGGCAACCCUGAUCCAGCCAUGCCGCGUGCGGGAAGAAGGCC
rnacentral:rRNA from 1 species